rnacentral:rRNA from 1 species
UACGUAGGUGGCAAGCGUUGUCCGGAUUUACUGGGCGUAAAGAGCGCGCAGGCGGUCGAAUAAGUCGAAUGUGAAAGCCCCCGGCUUAACUGGGGAGGGUCAUUCGAUACUGCUCGACUUGAAGGCAGGAGAGGGUAGUGGAAUUCCAGGUGUAGCGGUGAAAUGCGUAGAUAUCGGGAGGAACACCGGUGGCGAAGGCGGCAUCCUGGACCGGUAUUGACGCUGAGGCGCGAAAGCUAGGGGAGCAAACGGG